UACGAGGGUGGCAAGCGUUGUUCGGAUUUACUGGGCGUAAAGGGGGUCUAGGUGGUAUGCUAAGUCUUCUGUGAAACCCCGGAGCUUAACUCCGGAACUGCAGGGGAAACUGGCAUGCUAGAGUACGUAAGACGCAUGCGGAAUACUGGGUGUAGCGGUGAAAUGCGUAGAUAUCCAGUAGAACACCUGCGGCGAAAGCGGCCUGCGUGUACGUUACUGACACUGACGCCCGAAAGCGUGGGGAG
rnacentral:rRNA from 1 species